rnacentral:rRNA from 1 species
UACGUAGGGCGCAAGCGUUUGUCCGGAAUUAUUGGGCGUAAAGAGCUCGUAGGCGGUCUGUCGCGUCGGCUGUGAAAUCCCGAGGCUCAACCUCGGGUCUGCAGUCGAUACGGGCAAACUAGAGUAUUGCAGGGGAGACUGGAAUUCCUGGUGUAGCGGUGAAAUGCGCAGAUAUCAGGAGGAACACCGGUGGCGAAGGCGGGUCUCUGGGCAAUAACUGACGCUGAGGAGCGAAAGCGUGGGGGAGCGAACAGG